rnacentral:rRNA from 1 species
UUUACGGGAGGCAGCAGUGGGGAAUCUUGCACAAUGGAGGAAACUCUGAUGCAGCGAUGCCGCGUGAGUGAAGAAGGCCUUUGGGUUGUAAAGCUCUUUCGUCGGGGAAGAAAAUGACUGUACCCGAAUAAGAAGGUCCGGCUAACUUCGUGCCAGCAGCCGCGGUAAU